UACGAAGGGAGCUAGCGUUGCUCGGAAUUACUGGGCGUAAAGCGCACGUAGGCGGUUUGUCAAGUUGGAAGUGAAAGCCCAGGGCUUAACCCUGGAAUUGCUUUCAAAACUGGCAUACUAGAGAUUGGUAGGGGACAGUGGAAUUCUUGGUGUAGAGGUGGAAUGCGCAGAUAUCAGGAGGAACACCGAUGGCGAAGGCAGAUCUCUGGGCCGUAACCGACGCUGGGGUGCGAAAGCAUGGGGAGCGAACAGG
rnacentral:rRNA from 1 species